AUUGAACGCUGGCGGCAGGCCUAACACAUGCAAGUCGGACGGUAGCACAGAGGAGCUUGCUCCUCGGGUGACGAGUGGCGGACGGGUGAGUAAUGUCUGGGAAACUGCCCGAUGGAGGGGGAUAACUACUGGAAACGGUAGCUAAUACCGCAUAACGUCGCAAGACCAAAGUGGGGGACCUUCGGGCCUCACACCAUCGGAUGUGCCCAGAUGGGAUUAGCUGGUAGGCGGGGUAACGGCCCACCUAGGCGACGAUCCCUAGCUGGUCUGAGAGGAUGACCAGCAACACUGGAACUGAGACACGGUCCAGACUCCUACGGGAGGCAGCAGUGGGGAAUAUUGCACAAUGGGCGCAAGCCUGAUGCAGCCAUGCCGCGUGUAUGAAGAAGGCCUUCGGGUUGUAAAGUACUUUCAGCGGGGAGGAAGGUGCUGAGGUUAAUAGGCUCAGCAAUUGACGUUACCCGCAGAAGAAGCACCGGCUAACUCCGUGCCAGCCGCCGCAGUAA
rnacentral:rRNA from 1 species